rnacentral:rRNA from 1 species
AGACCCGAAACCCGGUGAUCUAGCCAUGGGCAGGUUGAAGGUUGGGUAACACUAACUGGAGGACCGAACCGACUAAUGUUGAAAAAUUAGCGGAUGACCUGUGGCUGGGGGUGAAAGGCCAAUCAAACCGGGAGAUAGCUGGUUCUCCCCGAAAGCUAUUUAGGUAGCGCCUCGUGAAUUCAUCUCCGGGGGUAGAGCACUGUUUCGGCUAGGGGGCCAUCCCGGCUUACCAACCCGAUGCAAACUGCGAAUACCGGAGAAUGUUAUCACGGGAGACACACGGCGGGUGCUAACGUCCGUCGUGAAGAGGGAAACAACCCAGACCGCCAGCUAAGGUCCCAAAGUCAUGGUUAAGUGGGAAACGAUGUGGGAAGGCCCAGACAGCCAGGAUGUUGGCUUAGAAGCAGCCAUCAUUUAAAGAAAGCGUAAUAGCUCACUGGUCGAGUCGGCCUGCGCGGAAGAUGUAACGGGGCUAAACCAUGCACCGAAGCUGCGGCAGCGACACUGUGUGUUGUUGGGUAGGGGAGCGUUCUGUAAGCCUGUGAAGGUGUGUCGUGAGGCAUGCUGGAGGUAUCAGAAGUGCGAAUGCUGACAUAAGUAACGAUAAAGCGGGUGAAAAGCCCGCUCGCCGGAAGACCAAGGGUUCCUGUCCAACGUUAAUCGGGGCAGGGUGAGUCGACCCCUAAGGCGAGGCCGAAAGGCGUAGUCGAUGGGAAACGGGUUAAUAUUCCCGUACUUGGUGUUACUGCGAAGGGGGGACGGAGAAGGCUAUGUUGGCCGGGCGACGGUUGUCCCGGUUUAAGCGUGUAGGUGUGUGUUCCAGGUAAAUCCGGUUCACUUUAACACUGAGGCGUGACGACGAGGCACUACGGUGCUGAAGCAACAAAUGCCCUGCUUCCAGGAAAAGCCUCUAAGCAUCAGGUAACAUCAAAUCGUACCCCAAACCGACACAGGUGGUCAGGUAGAGAAUACCAAGGCGCUUGAGAGAACUCGGGUGAAGGAACUAGGCAAAAUGGU